rnacentral:misc_RNA from 1 species
GGAAGUAAAAGUCGUGACAAGGUUUCCGUAGGUGAACCUGCGGAAGGAUCAUUAUUGUAUAACCGAGGUGCGAGGGCUGUCGCUGACCCGAAAGGUCGUGCACGCCCGAGUGCCCUCACACACAUCCAUCUCACCCCUAUGUGCACCACCGCGUGGGUCCCCCUUUGGCUUGUUCGGAGGGGGGCUUACGUUUUCACACAAACUUUGUAUGCAGUGUAGAAUGUAUUUUUUGUUUUUGCGAUCACGCAAUCAAUACAACUUUCAACAACGGAUCUCUUGUCUCUC